rnacentral:lncRNA from 1 species
AUGAUAAUAAAUUAUUUAAUAAAAACACAUAUUGUAAUCAGUCUAAUUAUGAGGUUUUUUUUUUAAUUCAACUAAAAACUGUAAAUUGGAAUCCUACGUGAAAACAUUCUUUCCACAGUCUCAAGAGAAGUGUACAUUUUAGUCUAUGUUGAAAUUUUUUAACAUCAAAAAAUGUACAUAUUGAUUCUAUCUUAAUCAAAAGUUACUUUCCCUUGGACAUAUUAAACUUUGUGUAUUAUUUACUGUGUUCUUUUAGUUUUUCCUGACACAAGACAAUAAAUUCAGAUAAAUAACUGCAUUAGGAAUUAAAGUACAUGUGAGUUUUAAAAAAAUCCUCCUCUUCAGAAAGUUUAAGUGAAAAUUAACAUUGUUGCAAUUUAUUUUAGUUGAGUUCUAAUAAGUUACAAGGAAGUUGAAUUUUAAGUGAAAUAAAUAUUUGCCAUUUCAAUAAAUCUUUCAAUUUAUUUUCUCCUUUUAUGAUGAAUAGAUUCUUUCCUCAUACGACCUGAACAUAGUUUCUUUUCCAUCUUCUCCUCGCAAUUCCUAACCAGUGCCCCCACACAACCAGAAUCCACCCUCCUUCUGUCUCUCAUUAGAAAAAACAAACAAACAAACAAACAAACAAAAACAAAACAAAACAAAAGAAAACCCACGGACUUCUGAAAGCUAACAACUAAACAUAACAAAAUAAAAUAUAAUAAGUUAAAACAAUCCCAUCAUGUCGAAGUUGAACAAAGUAAAUCAACACUAGGAAAAGAGACCCAGAAGAAAGCCCAACAAUCAGAGACCUACUAGUUCAUACAUUCUGGAGUACUAUAAAAAUACAAAACUGAAAGCUUUAAUAUGUACACAGAGGACCUGGUAUAGACCCAUGGUAGCCUUGUGCCUGCUGCUUCAUUCUUUGAGUUCAAAUGAGCCUUGCUCAGUCUAUUUAAAGAGCCGUGUUCCUCCGGUUGUCCUCUAUCCCCUCUGCCUCUUACACUCUUUCUGCCUCAUCUUCUGUGGAGGUCCCUGAGCUGUGAGGAGAAGGGUUUGAUGAGACAUCCCAAAUAGAAACCCUUAAGUCUAUUGAUUCAUGUGUUAACAGAUGAUCCAUCAAGAGUCAUGUAUUUAAAAUUAGUUACUAAGAGAAAGGUAAUUAUAUCCCUAUUGUCAACUUAGUCUUUGUCAGUGUUUCGGGUCACAGUGACUAAUGAUUUCAAAGGCAUCUUUGAUUUCAAAGGUUAGUGUGACUUUCAAUGAUUUGCUUUUUCUUCUAUUAUAAAUAAUGUAAGGAAUAAAAGGGACAUUUCUUAGCAUUUGGUGCUUAAGUUGGAUGCUACUCAAUCUUGGAAUGAUAUGUCUUGGGCCCAGUCAGAUAUUUCUUCCUGGGGUGAGGGGAGGAAAUCGUGGAACUCCACAGUUAUAUUUCUGAGUUGUUGAUGUAAUGUGGUAAUGAAAACAUCCUUCUUAUCUCUAUCUAAUUAGAACUUUGUGCCAAAAUGAUAAACCUAAGAGCAUUCCUUUCAGUGUCCGAGGACAGCUGAAACAUUUUCUUUGCAUUUAUUAUGCAUUUCUUGAAGAUUGAAAAAGAUAAUCAUCUCAGAGCAGUUCUCCUGUGGAUUCACUUAGAGGCACUUCUGCUUUCUCCUCAAAUGUGUGUUUGUUUCUCUCUAGGAUAUACAAAAACAAAGACAGUACCUGUUUCGUUUAUUUGGACAUCUAAAUAAUUGGUAGGACAUUGUGGGUAAAUAUUUCACAGUAGCCAAUGGUUACUGAGAAUAUUUAUGGCUAUUUCUUAUAUCUGUUUUUCUUAAUAAUGACAUUGUUUAUGUAUGUAUAAAAUUUUUAUGCAUUCAUAUGUUUAUCUUUCAUAAAAAUUUAAAAGCUGCUUUUAUA